rnacentral:ncRNA from 1 species
CGAGCAGGCGGAGGCGUCGACGCGCGUCUCCAGCUUCGGUCGCCUGAGUCGCGAAGAGCCACUGGCGAGCCCGUCCGCCUGCGUG